rnacentral:rRNA from 1 species
AGCGAACGCUGGCGGCAGGCUUAACACAUGCAAGUCGAACGGGCGUAGCAAUACGUCAGUGGCAGACGGGUGAGUAACGCGUGGGAACAUACCUCUUGGUUCGGAACAACACAGGGAAACUUGUGCUAAUACCGGAUAAGCCCUUACGGGGAAAGAUUUAUCGCCGAGAGAUUGGCCCGCGUCUGAUUAGCUAGUUGGUAGGGUAAUGGCCUACCAAGGCGACGAUCAGUAGCUGGUCUGAGAGGAUGAUCAGCCACAUUGGGACUGAGACACGGCCCAAACUCCUACGGGAGGCAGCAGUGGGGAAUAUUGGACAAUGGGCGCAAGCCUGAUCCAGCCAUGCCGCGUGAGUGAUGAAGGCCCUAGGGUUGUAAAGCUCUUUUGUACGGGAAGAUAAUGACGGUACCGUAAGAAUAAGCCCCGGCUAACUUCGUGCCAGCAGCCGCGGUAAU